GAUGAAGAACGCAUCGAAAUGCGAUAACUAAUGUGAAUUGCAGAAUUCCGUGAAUCAUCGAGUCUUUGAACGCACAUUGCGCCCCCUGGUAUUCCGGGGGGCAUGCCUGUCCGAGCGUCAUUGCUGCCCAUCAAGCACGGCUUGUGUGUUGGGUCCCGUCCCCCUCUCCCGGGGGACGGACCCGAAAGGCAGCGGCGGCACCGCGUCCGGUCCUCGAGCGUAUGGGGCUUUGUCACCCGCUCUUGUAGGCCCGGCCGGCGCUUGCCGACACCCAACCAUUUUUUUCAGGUUGACCUCGGAUCAGGUAGGGAUACCCGCUGAACUUAAGCAUAUCAAUAAGCGGAGGA
rnacentral:misc_RNA from 1 species